rnacentral:rRNA from 1 species
CUGGAGUACUCGAGUGGCGAACGGGUGAGUAACACGUGGGUGAUCUGCCCUGCACUUCGGGAUAAGCCUGGGAAACUGGGUCUAAUACCGGAUAGGAGCCAUUUUUAGUGUGAUGGUUGGAAAGUUUUUCGGUGUAGGAUGAGCUCGCGGCCUAUCAGCUUGUUGGUGGGGUAAUGGCCUACCAAGGCGGCGACGGGUAGCCGGCCUGAGAGGGUGGACGGCCACAUUGGGACUGAGAUACGGCCCAG